GAGUUUGGUUGUACACAUACUUCGCAUAUUCAACCUGAGAAGUAUGAAGAAGAAGGCUUCUCCCCUUUUUUGGCAAUUUUCAACCUUGUUUUGGAAUUUAUUUGAUGAUCCAAUUCGUCCUUAUUGUAUAACUUGUCGAUUAUAAUGUUUAUGAAAAGUAUGAGUUCAAUCAAGUAACAAAUGGUUAUUAAUCGAAGAAGAAAAAUCCCUGAAAAAAAUGAAAAAAAGUUAGCUGUGUACACUUGAUUACAACCCUUAUAAAAGAAGAAGGCUUCUCCUCAGUUUUUGAAAUUUUCGACCAUAUUUUGGAAUCAGUUUUACGAUCUGAUUUGUCCACAUUAUAGAAAUUGUCAAUUAAAAUGAAUUCGUCAGAUUUCAAGUCAAUCGGAUACUUCUUGGUAUCUAAUCGGAGAAGAUAUAUGUCAAAAAAAAUUAGAAAAAAAUGAGCCGGUAACACUUGAUUACAACCUUAAAAAGACUUUUUUCCUCCCACCUUCGUCCGUUAUAACAUCGUCGCCCGUCCAAGUCGACCUUGUCGCCGUUCCGACCACUGAGUCAGCCGGCAGAGAUGUGUUCGCGACUUGGGCGAUCGGAGCUGAUGAACUCAUCCACGCGGCCACACCCAUCGUCUCUUUCUCUCUCUACAACAACGGGUGCAUGUUUGCUAUUUGUGGCUCAGAAGACUCAGAAACAGAACCACUUCUGCAGCCAAGAAUGUGAGGAUCAAUCUAAGGAGUUGGAAGGAAGAGUUGGCAACAUUCCCUACUAGCUCAUCUGCUGGUGCAUUAGCUUUAUCGUUGCAACUUGCAACAUUUAAGGAUUGCGAAAUUGCUGGCGAAGAUAUGGCCGCACAUUAUCUCCCAAGAAAGCUUUGCCCUUACAGAAUGGGCGAGUUGGGUCUUUUACUGGGAAGCUGGACACUACUGUUGUGAAAGAGUGAGUGGCGACUGUGUUGCUUGAGUAAACAGUGUCAUGGUAGAUGCCUGCUACGCAAUAGCAACCAGCUCCCCCCGUCCAAAACGUCCAUCGCCACUAUCCUAGCCAAAGCCUUUAAGUGGGAGUUCAUUGUGCAGCCAACCCCUACUGCAAUCCGUACCCAGCCCAGCCAUGCCCUUCUCGGAUGGAACUCAAUGUUGAUGGGAGUGGUAGCGCUACAGAUUCAGAGGCAAGCGCUGGAGGCUUAGCUAGGGAUUGGAAAGGAAAUUGGAUCACCAGGUUUUCGUGCAAACUGGGCUCUGUCCCGGGUCUCUCAUAUGAGCUUUGGGCUAUUUAUCAUGGACUCAAAACAUUUCAAACAGGAAUACAUAUCCUUGGUGGAAAUCGAAUUAGAUGCCGCUAGUGCUAUCAAUGUAAUCAAUUUAUUACAAGCAAUCACCAACUUCACAUCAUCACUGUUUGCAGGCCCCUUCUCCAAGAGCUGGGCAAUCCUCCGGUUAAGCAUGUAAUGCAGGAAUGCAACAAGUGCGCUAGCCCAAGAAGCGAAAGUGCACCGUUUUCCUUUUUUAGUUUAUCUUGCAAUUCUGUAUAUCUAUUAAAUUCCAAAUGUUGGAGGACCAGAGAGGUGCUUCUGAACCAUGUACUCUUAUUUCUUUUCUUUUCUUUUUUCUUGAUUAAUUAGUGUUUGCUAA